rnacentral:lncRNA from 1 species
UUGUAAAACCGUUCGGUGUAGUUCCCUUUUGUAUUACUGUUCGGUCUUGAGUUGUUACCAUGAUCGUUCGACCUUAGCUUGUAGAAUUGUGUCAGACUUAAUGAGUUAGUUUAUAUUCAAAACUCACAAGUUAGAAACUUUUAAGUUAAAAAAUAGUUCGAGUUAUCUUGUAAACUAAUUGUGCAAAAAAAAAAAAACAAGAAAACCUUAGUUUUUACAAUUCUUUUUACCCAUUUUACUCUAAAAUACCACAUAUUCUUCUAAUUCUUCUAAAUAUUUAUUCUCUCUCUCUUCCACUGUUUAUGCAAUUUUUUAUUCUCAACAUUCUUUCACCUCCAUAUUUUAAUGCAAUUUUGAGCAGUUCUCCCUGCACCUCACCAACUUCGUCCUGCACUUUCCAUUCUUUUUAUAUUUCCAAUUCUAGCCUUCAAAUAAUAUUUUGAUUUUCAAAAAAGCUAAAAAAUCUAACCCAUUGACCCAUGCAUUGAAAAAGCAAAUUCCUUUUCCCACUGCCGCAUUUCAUAUCUUAAAUCUCUACACCCCCUUCUUCUUUCUUCUCCUUUGUUGUGCUCCCUUGUGUUACUCCUCCACCCUCUUUUGUCUCUCACCAUUACAACCAUUUAACUUGAUCUAGCUCAACAUUGUUGUCUGUGGCUGUUUCGUAUAUCAAACAGGCGUCCAGGUUAGUUACUUUCCUAGAUCUUGUUCAUACUAUGGAUGUGUGAAUUUUAGUAUAUUUCUUGCUUGAUUUGGUAUUUUUUUUCCUUAUGAACUGUGUGUAUGGAAACUGGGUGUAUGAACUGUAUGGAAACUGGACGGAUGAAAACUGGGUGUAUGAACUGUGUGCAUGGAAACUGGGCGGGGAGAUGCAAGGUUAACUGCAAAUGGAACUACAGUUAACGCCUUUCGUACUACGAAGCGCGAAUAUGGUGGCACCGCAAGUGGAUCAGCGGCUGGUGGCAACCAUAGGUGGAUCUGCAGUUGGUUGGACUUGGGGGUGCAUCUUAGAUGUCUGCAGUUCACACUGCGGCUAGAGUGAAACGUAGUUCGUCCUGCAGCUAAUGUGAAACGUAAUUCGUCCUGCAGCUAAUUUGAAAUGCAGUUCGUUCUGCGGUUUCUGUCCCUGUACAUGUUUUCCACUUAUUUGUUAUGUUUAAUUAUUGUUUUCGGAUGAAAUUUUGAUUUUUUUUUUGUUAACACUACAGGAAAAGCGCGAUUUAUCUACGACAUAUUACCGAAGGCCUUGAGGUCGUGGGUAAUGUUAUGCUUACCGAAGGCUUUUGAGCCGUCGGUAAGUUCCUUCCUGAUUUAAGACCUCAGUUGGGGUUUUCGUUCCCCAAUUUCACUUUCUUCAGCCUUCGUCAAGUUCGUCGUUUCCUUCAGACAAUUCCCUCCCUUUUCACGUCCCGC